UACAGAGGGUGCGAGCGUUGUCCGGAAUCACUGGGCGUAAAGGGCGCGUAGGUGGCGACCCAAGUCAAUGGUGAAAGCUCGAUGCUCAACAUCGAGUCGGCCACUGAUACUGGGUUGCUCGAGCACUGUAGAGGCAGAUGGAAUUCCGGGUGUAGCGGUGGAAUGCGUAGAGAUCCGGAAGAACACCGGUGGCGAAGGCGGUCUGCUGGGCAGUUGCUGACACUGAGGCGCGACAGCGUGGGGAACAAACAGG
rnacentral:rRNA from 1 species